UAAGAAAGGACUCCUUUAGCAACAGACUGGUAAGAAGAUACUCAGGAACUGGACUUCCAGAGUGGGAGAUUCAGAUUAUGAGUCUGGGAAAAGCUUAUAGGAGAGAUAAGAAAGGAAGCAACAAAGGAUUGGGAGGAACUGGUUUCAGCUGCUUCAUACAGGAUCCCUGGGCUAAAACCUAGAGGAUUGGGUGGGUCUGGGAUCCCCUGCCAUCCGCAGCAGAGGGGAUAGUAAGGACCUUAGAGAAAAGAGGUCAAGACCCUGUGGGAGCCUAGGACUCUUGACCCUUUGCUGGGCACAUAAGACUCCCUAGGACAUCAGAUGCUUUUUGUUGCCCUGGAAGCAGAGAGGCAACGAAUGACCUGGCUGGAGCCAUAACAAGAAACCACCAGACACAGAACUAAAUGAUUAUUGGCAGAAUGGGAGAAAACUGCACCAGGCUAGUUGCAGUAAAAGGGGACAGCUGGUGAAAGCUGGAUGAGGGCUAACUCAGCUGUGCUGUAAGCUGGCAUAACUCUAUUGAGGCUAAAAGGACUGUACCUUUCACUAUCCCAUCUCAGGGAGGGAAGUUCUUGCAGUAUUUGGCAGAAGGGGGAAGUCCUGGAAGCAAAGUCCUAUAGGAGUCGUACGGUGUAGAGGCUGAAGUGAGUUCAGCAAAGGAUGGUUUGGGCAGCAGCGUGGAGACAUUCUCAGACUCUACAUUAUUGGAUUCUUCUGACAAAGCACAGCCAGAGGGGUGCUCAGAGCAUGUGUAACACUGAUGGAUGGAAACAUUUAUGUCCACAUAGAGAAAGUCAUACAGCCUAGGGGACUGCUGGGUGUGUAAUAUCAUGCCUUUGGUUCAUGGCUGAAGCUGUAGAGAUGAUGCAGAUCACCAGUGGGCACCCUGAAAAAUUAAGAGAUGGCGACAGUGUCAAAACUGCACCUGAUGCUUCCCUUCAGAAAAUCAGCUCCUUAGAGCAUUGUGACUCUAAGCCUUGGAACUAAGAAGGAGCCAUGCCUGGAGAUGGAAGACCCACAGGUUGGGCUAAAGGAUCAGUCCAUUGUUCUGAGAGAGCAGGACCUUCAAUAGAAGAGGAAACUGGGAAAAGGCAUACAAGAGGGUCCCAUGGGAGGAUGAGGGCAUCUCCCAGUGACUGUUUCCCCAGGCCAGCCCUGAAGCAGUAACGAGGACACUUCUUGUUCUGUGUAGAUUCCCAGAGAGCGUAAUGUGCUCCAGGAAUCCUUCAGGAUGUGGAAAGAAGAAUCUGUCUUCUCCAUGAAGAGUUUGGGCCCUUCAAACUGGAAGUCUUCUGCAGCUCUUUGGGUAAUCCAGAAAGGUGUAGCCAAGAAGCCUACCUCAGUACCACUGUCAUGGAGACCAGGCAGGCAGCUGUAUCAGCUACAUCCAGUGCUGUCUCUCAGGCUGGCUAUUAACUGACCCUCUCUAAGAAUGGUCUGAAACUGUUCCUUUUGUGUUCCAGUAAAUGUUCCAGAAAUGCACUGAGUUUCCCAUAAUUAAUGAAUUGUAUUUGGCUAUGACAAUUUGGUAAAGUUGCCAACAAAUACACCAUUUUGUCAAGCCCAAUCAUAUGGGGUCAAUUUGGCAUUAUGUUGCUUGCUUCAUGCAUUAACCACAUCCCUUGUGAUGGAUUUGUGUUGCAGACAUUGAAACAGUCUGCCUCUUUGGGAGGGAUGUAGUAUUUUUUUUCUUAAUUAUUUUUAUUUUGGCUCCGUUUCUGGUUGAUGCAAUGGAGGCUGCUGUCUGCCAGAUGACUUUGGUAGGAUCUAGAAUCACCUCAUUAACUGGGAGGGCGGUUGAGCAGGAAGUUAGGGGAAUUCGCCCGCGCAGGGCUAGAUAGCCACAAGGGAGGGAGAGCACAUGUGCAGGCUCAAUGGAUGCUGCUAUCCAAAAUCUCUGAUUAGAGGCGCAGGGGUGCAUAUGUGCUUACAGUGAAGCACCCAUAGGGACACUACUCAAAGAAGAAGAUAUUUAUUUCAAGCUCCUGGAAAGACCCAUUUAUUGCCUGGCUGGGAAAAGUAUAUUCUCUAAUUUGUUUAGCAGGAGUAGAGUUAAUCUCAUCUGAUAUGAUUUUUUUUUCCAUUGGGUUAACACUGCCCUAGAAAAGGGCGCUGGAUCUAACUCAACCAAGUGGCAGCAAAUAAUCAACAUUCAAAUGGAUGGAAACUAAAUGCUCAAUUCUAACUAAUAAUCGAAGGGAAAAGAAAAAUGCCUGCAAUGUUGGGAACGGGUUAACUACAACAUUCCACUGCAGUAACUUCCCACACAACAACCAAUAUCAUCAGUGUCUGACAAAUGGGUGAGAGGGGGAAGGUUUGAAAGUUUUGAUAUAGGUCCUGGAGUGUGCAAAAUGUGGGUCUGAUUUUUACAAACCCAAGCAAAUAGUCCUUGCAAAUAGUCCUCGCAAAUAGUCCUCCUCUAUAGGUUAUCCUGA